CGGUGUUUAACUGGCGUGAUGUGGGACGUCCUACCGGUGGGCUUAGCCUCGCGAGGGGCGGCCCAACUAAUAUCCCGUCGCGGUGCUCUUUACUGAGUGUCGAGUCGGGCCGGUACGUUUACUUUGAACAAAUUAGAGUGCUUAAAGCAGGCUAUCCUCGCCUGAAUACUGCGUGCAUGGAAUAAUGGAAUAGGACCUCGGUUCUAUUUUGUUGGUUUUCGGAACCCCGAGGUAAUGAUUAAUAGGGACAGAUGGGGGCAUUCGUAUUGCGACGUUAGAGGUGAAAUUCUUGGAUCGUCGCAAGACGGACAGAAGCGAAAGCAUUUGCCAAAAAUGUUUUCAUUAAUCAAGAACGAAAGUUAGAGGUUCGAAGGCGAUCAGAUACCGCCCUAGUUCUAACCAUAAACGAUGCCAGCUAGCGAUCCGCCGAAGUUCCUCCGAUGACUCGGCGGGCAGCUUCCGGGAAACCAAAGCUUUUGGGUUCCGGGGGAAGCAUGGUUGCAAAGCUGAAACUUAAAGGAAUUGACGGAAGGGCACCACCAGGAGUGGAGCCUGCGGCUUAAUUUGACUCAACACGGGAAACCUCACCAGGCCCAGACACCGGAAGGAUUGACAGAUUGAUAGCUCUUUCUUGAUUCGGUGGGUGGUGGUGCAUGGCCGUUCUUAGUUGGUGGAGCGAUUUGUCUGGUUAAUUCCGAUAACGAACGAGACUCUAGCCUGCUAAAUAGGCGUACCUUAUGGUAUCGCGAAGGCCCCCGGCUUCGGCCGGUGGGUUUUUACUACCAACGUACAAACAAAUCUUCUUAGAGGGACAGGCGG
rnacentral:rRNA from 1 species